UCAUGACCUGAGCCGGAAUCAAGAGUCAGGCGCUUAACUGACUGAGCCACCCAGGCGCCCUUAUAUGGCAGGUUUUUAUCCGGCGCCCAGUGGAUUCAGAGGCAGAGCUGAAGCCUCGGAGGGAAAGAAACAGGUGCUUCCAUGGAAGGAGACGGGAGCGGGAGUGCGGAAGAGCCCGGCCACCUGCUCCUCAGGCAGGGGUGGUCUGGGAAGGCUCCUCGGAGGAGGAUAAACGUGUAGUAUGUUUGCAAUGUGGACAUUUUUCAGAAGAAAGGGAAUGACAGGGUGAAAUCAGGGUACAAAAAUAAUAAUUGCUUCUUUUGCUGAGCUCUGAGAAUGGAUUUUUAAAGCCAAAACGAAUUAAGUAAGACUUUAUCUGAACGUCCCUCGUGGCCCCCUUUCACCAUCUGGAUGGGAUCCGGCAAGAACAAUCCAAGUCAUUUGGGUGGGUAGAAAAUAAUUUUCAGUUUCACAGCGGCCACUCCUAACACCCCCCCCCCCCCCAGGGUGGCCUAUUUAUAGCUUCCGUUGGGUGUAGACGUGACAUUUAUCUGUGCAAACCAGGCAUCCACACUCGGGGGCUUCCCGAGCCACUUCUGUUCAAGGCAGAUAACAAAACACAGAUAAGUCGAUCAGCAGGAAUCCGCCUUUGAAUUUGCCUUCCAAAACAAGCAAGCUCUCUUGCUGUUUAGGGAGAAACCAACCUGUUUGGAAUCGCUCAGGAUGAUGAAAUAGCCGUCUCUAUUUCUCGAGGGCCGGAGGGAUUCAGCCCCUACGUGAGGCAGCUCUGAAGGAUCCCAGCCACUGCCAGGAAUCCUGUUCGCCCUUUAUCCCCCUUGGGAAGUAGAGAGCUCCCUGACACUGGAGGUGUGCAAGCCACAGCUGGGCGAGCCUUGUCAGAGGCACUGUAGCAGGAAUUUCAGAGUCAGAUGGGGGGCAGUGCUAUGGGCUGAAUCGUGCCUGCAGAAUCCACAUGUUGAAGUCCUAGCCCACCCACCGCCCUCCCUGCACCGCAGAUGUGACUGUAUUUCGAGAUAGGGUCUUUCCACGGGCGAUCAAUUUAAAAUGAGAUCAUAUGGGUGUGUCCUCAUUUAAUCUGACUGCUGUCCUUAUGAGAAGAGAUUAGUAGGACAGAAGCCCAUACAGAGGGACAGCCAUGGAAGGACCCAGGAAGAAGAUGGCCAUCUGGGCACCAAGGAGACAGGCCUCAGGAGGAACCAUUCCCGCCCGUACCUUGAUCGAGGACUUCCGGCCUCCGGAAUGCGGGACCGUGAAUGUCUGUUGUUUAAGCCGCCCGGACUAUGGUGCUGUGUCGCGGCAGCCCAGGCAGGGUGGGUAUUGGUGUAUCCACCGUCCAGGUGAGACAGGGAGCUCAGAGAGGCGAAGUGAUACGUCCAGGGUCUCACAGUCCGUGAUGGCUCAUCCGGAUUCGCAUCUGGGAAGGCCUGCCCCCCAAGUCUGUCUGCUGUACUCAUGACUCUCCACCACGGACUCUGUAGUAGCGUUUGUACAAGAGGCUGGGAUUGUCUAGAGAAGGAAGGAGAGCCCUUGACUUGGGGAAGGUCACGGAAGGCUUCCUAGAGGAGGCGCCCUGUAAGCCAGGACUUGAACUUGCCAACCCAAGGGCCUGCUCCUGGGAGCUCACGCGUGGGGAUGUCCCGUCAUGUCACACAGAGAGAAACACAUAUCAACGCCAGCCACCCUGGGCACCCUGGGCAAUGGGCUCCGAGGUUCACGAAACAAGAAGCCCCAACCUCUGGUGCAAAUCACAGCCCUGCCUGCCUCUUUCUGGCUGUGUGCUCUUGGAGAAGUUACGCCACCUCUCCGAAAAACUGUGAGAAGUAAACUUUCUUCGCAGGAUGCGUUCAUUCCUCACGUGCAUAUGUUUUGAGCCCCGCUCCGUGGUGGGCGUUGCUGUUGGCAGAGGAAAGAGCAGUGAUCAGGGCGCGGUCGCGGGAACGUAUCCGUCUAGUAAAGCGCCGGAGAUGGGAAACUGAAGGACUCCCUGGAAAUCUGCAUUUUGCUCCUUCUCCUGCCUCUGUUCUUGCAGGGACCUGCACCCCCACCCCUCUUUGCACCUCAUAAUGCAAACAGCAUAUGUCUUCCCCGCAAGGAGGGAAUGACUUCUCUGGAAUAGACAACAUCUAAGGAAGGACCAGGUGAGAAUGAAGCCAUCGUGCGCGCAUUCCAGACCACUUGGCUGUACACAUCUCCGUGCCAAGGCCGCCUGGCUCCAAGGACUAACACCUGCGCCCUCAUCUUUGUUCUGACCGCUCCCGGGAUGCCUGAGGGGACACGCAAGCCAGACCACCGUCCCCCAUAAAAAACCCCCAGACCCCGAACAAAGAUGAGUCUCCUGCUCCCUUCCUUCCCGGGCCUCCCAGACGCUCUGUCUGUGUCUCUCUCUAUCUCCAAUAAACUCUGUUUUCACUCUUGCCA